rnacentral:rRNA from 1 species
UACGUCCUACGGGGGGCAGCAGUGGGGAAUAUUGCGCAAUGGGGAAAACCCUGACGCAGCAACGCCGCGUGAGUGAAGACGUAUCUCGGUAUGUAAAGCUCUAUCAGCGGGGAAGAAGGAAGACGGUACCCGACUAAGAAGCCCCGGCUAACUACGUGCCAGCAGCCGCGGUAAUACGUAGGGGGCGAGCGUUAUCCGGAUUUACUGGGUGUAAAGGGAGCGUAGACGGCGUCGCAAGUCUGAAGUGAAAGCCCGUGGCUCAACCGCGGAACCGCUUUGGAGACUGCGUGGCUGGAGUGCUGGAG